UUGGGAAUCUUGGACAAUGGGGGAAACCCUGAUCCAGCCAUGCCGCGUGAGUGAUGAAGGCCUUAGGGUUGUAAAGCUCUUUCGCACGCGACGAUAAUGACGGUAGCGUGAGAAGAAGCCCCGGCUAACUUCGUGCCAGCAGCCGCGGUAAUACGAAGGGGGCUAGCGUUGUUCGGAAUUACUGGGCGUAAAGCGCGCGCAGGCGGGUCAUCAAGUCAGAGGUGAAAGCCCGGAGCUUAACUCCGGAAUAGCCUUUGAAACUGUUGAUCUUGAGUACGGGAGAGGUGAGUGGAAUUCCCAGUGUGGAGGUGAAAUUCGUAGAUAUUGGGAAGAACACCAGUGGCGAAGGCGGCUCACUGGCCCGUUACUGACGCUCAGGCGCGAUAGCGUGGGGAUCAAACA
rnacentral:rRNA from 1 species